GGGGUUGUGGCUCAGUGGUACAGUGCUUGCCUAGCAUGCAUGAGGCACUGGGUUCAAUCCUCAGCACCACA
rnacentral:tRNA from 1 species